GUGGCUGGAUGGUAUAAGAUCCAACAUUUUAAGAGGGGUCAUAGAUUCGAUCUCCUUCUCAAAAUCUUCCAAUAUAUAUAUAUAUAUAUAUAUAUAUAUAAAUUAUUGAGCAAAAAAUGCUAUGGACUGAGACGCAUCCCAGUUGUAGCCUCGAGUCUGACGUGACCAAAAAAUAAAACUAUGAUGUUUUAUUUUAUUUUCAUUUUAAUUUAUUUGGCUUUCGAUUAUGUAGCUUUGGGUCUCGAAGACAAAAGGGAGUUUGUAGCUUCAUUCCCAUUUCUAUUAUCUCAAUCUUCUUCUUCUCUCCCCUCCCCCCAAUUUCAAAUCGUGCGAACCCCUUCCCAUCUUCAAACCUACAAACCCCUCUCCAUUUUCAAACCGUGCGAACCCCUCCCCAUCAACACCGUGUGAACCCCUCCCCGUCACCAUUACCUGAAAUCUCCCCCAAGCUUAGCCUCUCCAUCUUCGUGCGAAUCUCUCUUCCCUACCAUGUGAGGCUCCUUACGUUUGGAUCUACGACGACUUAACGUUCGGACUACCAAAGAAAGGCCUGCUUUCCAGUGCAGAGGAUUGAUGCUUAAAGCAUAAAGGAUUUCAAAAUGCCCAUUUGGUUGCACAUUAUGUGUAUUGGGGAGAUGAUGUGCUUCUCUACACAAGAUAUUGCUUCUGAAAUUUGAAUUUCUAGUAUGAGUGUCAUUGCAGGGCAACAUGCAGGAGGAGCUCCCAGAAGACAAAACAAAGGUGAUGUCAAGAGAGUUUGCCUUGUUCAUAGAAUUUACUUGUGCAUAGGCAUUUUUUUCCAUCCAAUAUGGAUGCAAUGUAAUGUGUAACUAUAAUUUCAAGUUGUAACAAUGCACUUUGUAAACCGUGGGUUCCUUAAUUGUGUUUUCAUUCUUCUA